GACGAACGCUGGCGGCGUGCUUAACACAUGCAAGUCGAACGAGAGGAGAAGGAAGCUUGCUUCUUUCAAAUCUAGUGGCAAACGGGUGAGUAACACGUAAACAACCUGCCUUCAGGAUGGGGGACAACAGACGGAAACGACUGCUAAUACCGAAUACGUUCCUUAGGUCGCAUGACUUUAGGAAGAAAGGGUGGCCUCUACUUGUAAGCUAUCGCCUGAAGAGGGGUUUGCGUCUGAUUAGGUAGUUGGUGAGGUAACGGCCCACCAAGCCGACGAUCAGUAGCCGGUCUGAGAGGAUGAACGGCCACACUGGAACUGAGACACGGUCCAGACUCCUACGGAGGCAGCAGUGGGGAAUCUUCCGCAAUGGGCGAAAGCCUGACGGAGCAACGCCGCGUGAGUGAUGACGG
rnacentral:rRNA from 1 species